rnacentral:rRNA from 1 species
GCGCAGCAGUCGAGAAUUUUCUCAAUGGGGGCAACCCUGAAGGAGCGACGCCGCGUGGAGGAUGAAGGCUUUCGGGUUGUAAACUCCUGUCAUUUGGGAACAAGUUGCGAGUAUUAACCGUGCUCGUAUUGAUAGUACCAGAAGAGGAAGGGACGGCUAACUCUGUGCCAGCAGCCGCGGUAAUACAGAGGUCCCAAGCGUUGUUCGGAUUCAUUGGGCGUAAAGGGUGCGUAGGUGGCGCUGUAAGUCGGGUGUGAAAUUUCGGAGCUUAACUCCGAAACUGCAUUCGAUACUGCGGUGCUUGAGGACUGGAGAGGAGACUGGAAUUCAUGGUGUAGCAGUGAAAUGCGUAGAGAUCAUGAGGAAGACCAGUGGCGAAGGCGGGUCUCUGGACAGUUCCUGGCACUGAGGCACGAAGGCCAGGGGAGCAAACGGGAUUAGAUACCCCCGUAGU